CCAAGUGAUCAGAGAGGAACUUCUAAUGUGUAUGACCCCAUAGGUUCAAACCUAAGCCAGUAGCACAAGAACUGAUUUUUGUACCAAUCGAAGUAACCAUCUAGCAAUGGUACCCGAUAUCUGGAUAGGCCGAAUGUAUGCUAAGCAACACUCAAGAGCCUAUUUGAAUAUAAUUAUCGUAUAAUUCAUCCCUUUGAUCUAAAUGCUCAAGGUGACCUAGGGUUUAACUGUCAAUCCCGAUGUGGUCAUCUACAUUGUAUUUCAAUUUUCAAAAUCCAUCACAUGGAUUACCCCGGUCA
rnacentral:lncRNA from 1 species